AUUGAACGCUGGCGGCAUGCCUUACACAUGCAAGUCGAGCGGCAGCGCGGGGGCAACCCUGGCGGCGAGCGGCGUACGGGUGAGUAAUGCAUCGGAACGUGUCCUCUUGUGGGGGAUAACCAGUCGAAAGACUGGCUAAUACCGCAUGAGAUCGAGAGAUGAAAGCAGGGGACCCGCAAGGGCCUUGCGCGAGAGGAGCGGCCGAUGCCCGAUUAGCUAGUUGGCGGGGUAAAAGCCCACCAAGGCGACGAUCGGUAGCUGGUCUGAGAGGACGACCAGCCACACUGGGACUGAGACACGGCCCAGACUCCUACGGGAGGCAGCAGUGGGGAAUUUUGGACAAUGGGGGCAACCCUGAUCCAGCCAUGCCGCGUGUGUGAAGAAGGCCUUCGGGUUGUAAAGCACUUUCGGACGGAACGAAAUCGCGCGAUCUAAUAAGUCGCGUGGAUGACGGUACCGUAAGAAGAAGCACCGGCUAACUACGUGC
rnacentral:rRNA from 1 species